ACGUGAGCAACCUGCCUUUCAGUGGGGGACGAACAUUUGGAAACGAAUGCUAAUACCGCAUAAGACCACAGUGUCGCAUGGCACAGGGGUCAAAGGAUUUAUCCGCUGAAAGAUGGGCUCGCGUCCGAUUAGCUAGAUGGUGAGGUAACGGCCCACCAUGGCGACGAUCGGUAGCCGGACUGAGAGGUUGAUCGGCCACAUUGGGACUGAGACACGGCCCAGACUCCUACGGGAGGCAGCAUG
rnacentral:rRNA from 1 species